rnacentral:rRNA from 1 species
AGUUUGAUCCUGGCUCAGAAUGAACGUUGGCGGCGUGGAUUAGGCAUGCAAGUCGAACGAAUCCCCGCAAGGGGGGAAGUGGCGAAAGGGGCAGUAAGGCGUAGACAACCUGCCCCAGGCACUGGGAUAGCCUUCCUAACGGUUGGGUAAUACCAGAUUCGCUCCCGCAGAGGCAUCUCGGCGGGAGGAAAGCUACGGCGGCCUGGGAGGGGUUUACGUGAUAUUAGCUAGUUGGUGGGGUAACGGCUCACCAAGGCCAAGAUGUCUAGCAGGUGUGAGAGCACGACCUGCGCCACUGGCACUGGGACACUGGCCAGACUCCUACGGGAGGCUGCAGUCGAGAAUCUUCGGCAAUGAGCGCAAGCUUGACCGAGCGACGCCGCGUGAGCGAUGAAGGCCUUCGGGUUGUAAAGCUCUGUCGGGGGGGAGAAAAGGCAACUUGAUCGACCCCCGGAGGAAGCACGGGCUAAGUUCGUGCCAGCAGCCGCGGUAAGACGAACCGUGCGAACGUUGUUCGGAAUCACUGGGCUUAAAGGGUGCGUAGGCGGGUUGUCCAGUCUGGGGUGAAAUCCCACGGCUCAACCGUGGAAUUGCCUCAGAUACUGACGACCUCGAGGGAGGUAGGGGCGAGCGGAACUGUGGGUGGAGCGGUGAAAUGCGUUGAUAUCCACAGGAACUCCGGUGGCGAAGGCGGCUCGCUGGACCUCUUCUGACGCUGAGGCACGAAAGCUAGGGGAGCAAACGGGAUUAGAUACCCCGGUAGUCCUAGCCCUAAACGAUGAGGACUAGGUAGUAGGCUAGACAUGGGCUUACUGCCGAAGCAAAGUGCUAAGUCCUCCGCCUGGGGAGUAUGGCCGCAAGGCUGAAACUCAAGGAAUUGANGGGGGCUCACACAAGCGGUGGAGCAUGUGGCUUAAUUCGAGCUACGCGAAGAACCUUAUCCU